GGCGAUAGCAUAUCAGGUUGUUGGCAAGGAGGAAGUGAAUGAGGAAAGGGCAUUGAGAGAAGGUAGCCAGUGAAACGGGCAAUAAGAAUGGUAAGGAUUAUGGCCAGGAGAGAAGGGGACUGAAUGCUGUGGAGACACCGGGCUUAGCAGACCCAGUGCCCUCAGACUCCUCUUUCCCUGUCCCAAUCCUCCAUGGCACCACCCUUGGCCUCUGUUCUUCUUCUUCUCACACCAUAUACCUCCCUGGCAGGCCCAUCUGUACCCACAGCUUCCAUGCCCACGUCUACACUGAUGACUCUCUAGUCCUGGCCCAUACCUAUCUCUUG
rnacentral:lncRNA from 10 species